GGAGCGAGAACCCCAUGUGGGGCGGAGGCUGGGGACGGACAGACGGUCAAACAGACAGAGGGCUUUCAUUCGCAGGGCCGCUGUGGGUGUCCAGUGUGAAACCAGAAAUCAAUGGCUCGCCUUCCGCUGCUGGUACCUGCUGACCUUGGGGGAAAGGACGACGCCAUGAGGCGUUCCGUCAGUACGUAGCCUCUCCAGGAGACGGGACAGAACGAGUCCAAAACUGCGAGUACAAGGCGGCUAAAUAAAACCUCGGAGUCAGCCUUUCAGGAGAUUUAAGGCAAACGUU